GAUUAACGCUGGCGGCGCACAUAAGACAUGCAAGUCGAACGGACUUAAUCGAUUCUUUUAGAUUCGAAGCGGUUAGUGGCGGACUGGUGAGUAACACGUAAGCAACCUGCCUAUUAGAGGGGAAUAACAGUGAGAAAUCAUUGCUAAUACCGCAUAAGCUAGAGACACCGCAUGGAGUAGCUAGAAAAGGAGAAAUCCGCUAAUAGAUGGGCUUGCGUCCGAUUAGCCAGUUGGUGGGGUAACGGCCUACCAAAGCGACGAUCGGUAGCCGAGCUGAGAGGCUCAACGGCCACAUUGGGACUGAGAUACGGCCCAGACUCCUACGGGAGGCAGCAGUCGGGAAUAUUGCGCAAUGGAGGGAACCCUGACGCAGUGACGCCGCGUAUAGGAAGAAGGUCUUCGGAUUGUAAACUCCUGUUGUUGGGGAAAAGAAGGAUGGUACCCAACAAGGAAGUGACGGCUAACUACGUGCCAGCAGCCGCGGUAAAACGUAGGUCACGAGCGUUGUCCGGAAUUACUGGGUGUAAAGGGAGCGCAGGCGGGUAUGCAAGUUGGGAGUGAAAUACAUGGGCUCAACCCAUGAACUGCUCUCAAAACUGUGUAUCUUGAGUAGUGCAGAGGUAGGCGGAAUUCCCGGUGUAGCGGUGGAAUGCGUAGAUAUCGGGAGGAACACCAGUGGCGAAGGCGGCCUACUGGGCACCAACUGACGCUGAGGCUCGAAAGUGUGGGUAGCAAACAGGAUUAGAUACCCUGGUAGUCCACACCGUAAACGAUGAUUACUAGGUGUUGGAGGAUAGACCCCUUCAGUGCCGCAGUUAACACAAUAAGUAAUCCACCUGGGGAGUACGACCGCAAGGUUGAAACUCAAAGGAAUUGACGGGGGCCCGCACAAGCAGUGGAGUAUGUGGUUUAAUUCGACGCAACGCGAAGAACCUUACCAAGUCUUGACAUCCUCUGACGAUGCUGGAAACAGUAUUUUCCUUCGGGACAGAGAGACAGGUGGUGCAUGGUUGUCGUCAGCUCGUGUCGUGAGAUGUUGGGUUAAGUCCCGCAACGAGCGCAACCCUUAUGGAUAGUUACUACGCAAGAGGACUCUAUUCAGACUGCCGUUGACAAAACGGAGGAAGGUGGGGAUGACGUCAAAUCAUCAUGCCCUUUAUGACUUGGGCUACACACGUACUACAAUGGCGUUCAACAAAGAGAAGCGAAAUCGCGAGAUGGAGCAAAACUCAAAAACAACGUCCCAGUUCAGAUUGCAGGCUGCAACUCGCCUGCAUGAAGUCGGAAUUGCUAGUAAUCGCAGAUCAGCAUGCUGCGGUGAAUACGUUCCCGGGCCUUGUACACACCGCCCGUCACACCAUGAGAGCCGGGGGGACCCGAAGUCGGCAGUCUAACCGCAAGGAGGACGCCGCCGAAGGUAAAACUGGUGAUUGGGG
rnacentral:rRNA from 1 species